UGUUGGGAUUUUUAUGGAUAAUUACAUUACACAGGCUCUCAUAAUGUCAGAUGUAAUAUAAUAAAUAGGCUGUUCACUUUGGUGUUCCCUAUAGUCAGCUAGAGCUAUCUGGAAGACAACUCCUCAUUUUUCUGGUUUGUGUGAAAAUUAUGUCUUAUUUUUCGGGAGCUCUUUACUUAGCAGAACACCACACAGCCCAGCAGUUGCUCGUCACAGCUGUAAUUAGAUUAUAUCAAACCAGCAGUGUUGAAACACUGGUGCCUGCAUUGCCUUGCUCAGCUGUAACUCCUGAGCUCUUCCAAAGCACUGAGCUGGCCGCAGUGAUGAGGAUGACAACAGUGAUAUGUGGCAGGUGAGGGUAGGUCCUACCCUGGGAGGUGUUAAAAACACUGCCCCUUUCAUUCCCAACCUGCCCUUUGUUGUUGGAGGUACUCUGCACGUUGAAGAGGGCAUUCAGGAUCUGGUCAAGGUGGGAAGACAGCACAGUCCAAGUGUUGACCUAACCUCCCCACAUAGCCCUGCAAGGAGAAAAGGGCCUGUCCAGAUUAAACCAGGCUUUACUCCAUUAUGAAGUCUCAAGAAAAUCAAGAGCAAAUGAAGAUACAGUGGAAAAUGAAACGCUACUAGGACCACUGCUCAGGGAGUCUGACAAAAAAAAAAAAAACGACAAAAAGGUAAGCUAUUUUUCUGUUCUUAACUAACAGCUUUCUGAAUUAUUUUUUAUCUGGAGGAAUGUGUAGCACUUCCUACAGACAGGUUUAAAUAGCAAGUCAUGCUUUCCCAG
rnacentral:lncRNA from 1 species